CCUACGGGGGCCAGCAGUGGGGAAUAUUGGACAAUGGGGGGAACCCUGAUCCAGCCAUGCCGCGUGUGUGAAGAAGGCCCUCGGGUUGUAAAGCACUUUCAGUGAGGAAGAACGCCUGGUGGUUAAUACCCAUCAGGAAAGACAUCACUCACAGAAGAAGCACCGGCUAACUCCGUGCCAGCAGCCGCGGUAAUACGGAGGGUGCGAGCGUUAAUCGGAAUUACUGGGCGUAAAGCGCGCGUAGGUGGCUUGAUAAGCCGGUUGUGAAAGCCCCGGGCUCAACCUGGGAACGGCAUCCGGAACUGUCAAGCUAGAGUGCAGGAGAGGAAGGUAGAAUUCCCGGUGUAGCGGUGAAAUGCGUAGAGAUCGGGAGGAAUACCAGUGGCGAAGGCGGCCUUCUGGACUGACACUGACACUGAGGUGCGAAAGCGUGGGUAGCAAACAGGAUUAGAUACCCUUGUAGUU
rnacentral:rRNA from 1 species